UGGGGAAUCUUCCGCAAUGGACGAAAGUCUGACGGAGCAACGCCGCGUGAGUGAAGAAGGUUUUCGGAUCGUAAAACUCUGUCUUUUGGGGCGAACGUGAGUAUGGUGAACAAUCAUAGUCAGUGACGGUACCAAAGGAGGAAGCCACGGCUAACUACGUGCCAGCAGCCGCGGUAAUACGUAGGUGGCAAGCGUUGUCCGGAAUUAUUGGGCGUAAAGAGCGCGUAGGCGGGAUAGUCAGUCUGUUGUAAAGUGCGGGGCUCAACCCCGUGAUGGCAAUGGAAACAGCUAUUCUUGAGUGCAGGAGAGGAAAGUGGAAUUCCCAGUGUAGCGGUGAAAUGCGUAGAUAUUGGGAGGAACACCAGUGGCGAAGGCGACUUUCUGGACUGUGUCUGACGCUGAGGCGCGAAAGCCAGGGGAGCGAACGGGAUUAGAUACCCCGGUAGUCCUGGCCGUAAACGAUGGGUACUAGGUGUGGGGGGUAUCGACCCCUUCCGUGCCGGAGUUAACGCAAUAAGUACCCCGCCUGGGGAGUACGGUCGCAAGACUGAAACUUAAAUGAAUUGACGGGGUCAUAGCUGUUUCCUG
rnacentral:rRNA from 1 species